GGUACAAUUGUAAAUUGUCCCUAGUGUGUAGGAUAAUGCUAGUGUACUUGGUGAUCACUGGUCGGUGCGGACUGAAGGGCCUGUUUCCACGCUGUAUCUCUAAAGUCUCAUAAUAGGCGCCUUAGUAAACUCGCCCUUACGUAAGCACUUCUUUAACCCACUGCUUUAUUUCCGAGUUGCGCAUCUCGGUAGCAAUGAGCUGCUGCUGUUGCAUGUGGCCAUUUCCACAAGCCACUCAGCAGUUUUCAAGGAUGCUCCCUACGUGGUCUCUGCUUCGGAGCUCCCCCUGUGGUCUCCACAUCAGAAGCUCCCCCAUGAUCUCCACAUCAGAGCUCCCCCAUGAUCUCCACAUCAGAACUCCCCCCCCCCCCCGUGAUCUCCACAUCAGAGCCCUGUGGUCUCCAUGCUGGAGCUCCCCCAUGAUCACUGCGUUGGAGCUUCCCCCUGUGGUCCACGUGUCAGAGCUCCCCCAUGGUCUCCACGUCAGAGCUCCCACCUAGUCUCCCACUAGUAAUACACAGUAUGAACGGUGAACGUACAGGUGCACGCAGCACUUCAGUUUCCGACCUAGGUAACAUCUGACUUAUGCAAGAUUCGGCGGGAGAUAACCUUUACGUGAGUGGGGGAGCGUCUGUCUUCCAGUCUUGGUGCUAGGUCACUGCAGACGUGGAAUUCGGUUGGACCACAUAUGGCCAGAAGAGACUCAAGGGGACAAAUGGCCUAAUUCCGUACCACAAAGUUCGACGAGUCUUCGGGAAUAAAUACGGGUUUUUGUUUCCCUCAACUACAGAAUGUAUGGAUGAAAUAAAGCAUGAAGGAAUCUAAUUAUGGUAAAUUAACAGAACAUUUCUCAUCUCCAUUAGACAUUUAAAAGUUACGAGGAAUUGUAUUUUAUCUGGAUAAUUACGCUUGGUGGUCGUUUGGCUGACAAAGGGAAGAAUAAUAGAAAUUGUUUCUCAAUGUCAGAGUUGAAAACCUCAUCGUAUGCCAAAAUCUGUGGGGAAAAAUAAUUCCGGUACAGUUUAGUAGACAAUCAUUACUCCAUGGUCCAAUAGAUUUUCGUCCAUUUGUAUAAAUACGAAUAAUUUAAAAAAUGGGUUUUGUAAUAGGAUAUUAUUAAAAGUGUCAUUAUGUUUGGUCAUACCUGUAUAGUUUUCAAUAAAAGAAUGGAAAUGAA